AGUGAAUAGAUACCCCGGUAGUCCUAGCCGUAAACGAUACUCGCUAGAUGUCGGCCACGGUGCGACCGUGGUCGGUGCCGUAGGGAAAGCCGUGAAGCGAGCCACCUGGGAAGUACGGCCGCAAGGCUGAAACUUAAAGGAAUUGGCGGGGGAGCACUACAACGGGUGGAGCCUGCGGUUUAAAUUGGAUUCAACGCCGGAAAUCUCACCGGGACCGACAGCGAUAUGAAGGCCAGGCUGAAGACCUUGCCGGAUUAGCUGAGAGGUGGUGCAUGGCCGUCGUCAGUUCGUACUGUGAAGCAUCCUGUUAAGUCAGGCAACGAGCGAGACCCACGCCCACAGUUGCCAGCGUACUCUCUGGAGUGACGGGUACACUGUGGGGACCGCCGCUGCUAAAGCGGAGGAAGGAAUGGGCAGCGGUAGGUCAGUAUGCCCCGAAUAUCCCGGGCUACACGCGGGCUACAAUGGUUGGUACAAUGGGUAUCUACCCCGAAAGGGAUGGAAAUCUCCUAAAGCCAAUCGUAGUUCGGAUCGAGGGCUGCAACUCG
rnacentral:rRNA from 1 species